rnacentral:lncRNA from 1 species
GUAAACAUUGUAACGAUCGCGGCAAAGGAACCGCGCGAUCAGGCGUUUGGUUUUCCUCGCUUGCGGCAGCGGCGGCGGGGGAACCUUCUCGGCGGCGCCUCGUCAUGCCGACCCUGGACAGGAGGCUGCUGGCGUGGAGCGACUCCGACACGGAGGACGACGGCGACCGGCUGCUCGCGACGCCGACGAGCAGCCGGGGCCUCGCCGUGGGCGUCGGCGUCGGCGGGACGUACGACCGGGCGUGCGCCUCGGUCGACGACGUGCUCGUCCCGGCCGGAGCCGACAACGACGGCCGCGCUGGCGGGAAGUCGUCGACGUCCGGCACGCGCAAAGUGAGUAGCGUUAUACAUUUAAUUUGCACGUGGCACAGCUCUCCGCCGGGCCAUGUAUGUGAAACGCGUGCGUGCGUGCAGGCUCUCGCGGCGGCGGGGCUCGUCGCCGGCGGCUGUCUCUGCGCUUACUUGGCCUGGCGCUACUGCGGCGGCGCGGGCAAGCUGCCCGUCUCGUCUUGAUUUGACCCAUACGUUUCCUGGUUCCAAGAUGAUCAUAAUAUGUCUUCAGUUUGAAAAUGUUUCAUCUUAUAUAUCCAAUCAUUCUUAUUUCAUCCGGAUUCAAAUUUAGUGAUAUUUAACUAUUUGCUAAUUUUAUGGAGGGCACUCCUUCAUUUGCCAAUUUUAGAUCGGCUCCUAUACAUUUGCCAUCGCGUAACAAUUGAGGCUACACAUUUGGCACAUUUGCCUACGUGGCACGUCAAGUCCUCCCUCCAACGUGUAUCAGCCAUGGGAAAAGACCGCGUUGCCCUCCCCUUAUCCGUUAACCUCGAGCCAGAGCCCCAUGCCAAGGUUGCUCCACCGCAUGCCCUCCCGCAUCCCCUGCUGCCGCAGCAGCCCCGCGCCGUCGAGCACGCAGAUGCCCCCCGCGCCGCCGGCCGAGGCGAGGCACUCCCUGGCGCCGCGCUGCCGCCAUACUCGUUCACAGCUCGUGUAGUGCAUGAACACCCAGUAGCGCGGAGGGAGGAUGUGACGAAUCAUGUAGGCAAAAGUGGCAAAUGUGUAGGUUCAAUUGUUACACGAUGGUAAAUGUGUAGAAACCAAUCUAAAAUUAGCAAAUGAGUGCCCUCCGUAAAAGUGGCAAAUAGUUAAAUAUCUCUCAAAUUUAAACCUUUCUGGCGAGUGAGAUGAACGCAAACGAACAUGAGGUUUCGAUGGUUUUUACGUAAGACCGAGUGAACACGCUUUGCGAACAGGAAAACGUACUUUACAGAAUGCGCCUUGAACGGAAACAUACAUCCUCCAUAGAUCUAGGCAGCGGAGCAAAAGCCUUGCAGGUGCCAUCCCAAAUUCCAUGCUGUGGCCGGCUGACUGAGCACAAGUUCAUCUCCGGAUGACCUUGGCGAAAUGGCAGGGCUAGGUUGCAACUUGCAAGCAGUUGCGAACAGAAACCUUGAAAAACGAAAAAUAUGCUGAAAGCAAAACAGCAAAGGUAAGUUCAUUAAGCAGAUAACUGAAACUAAACAACCGAGAUGGUAAAGUUAAAUUCUGGAAAAAAAAUAUUUAUGCGCUAAUGCGUUAGGCUUCUGAAGAAUCUCAUCGUGAUGUACAAGACCUCAUUACAAGGGUAUCUUCUAUGUUUCCUAAACCGCAAGCAUGUAAAAAAUGGUGGUACCAUUCCGGCGGUCUCCAUUCUCUGCAGGAACAUUUCCCUCCCCUGAAAACGUGUACCCGGACGAGUCUCUGACCGAGAUCACACCACAUUACAAACACAAAAUUUGAUCGAGAUCUUGCGUUUCCCAAUCACAAAGCCAUUACCAGGUUCAGAAUCCUCACCGAAUUCGAAGGCAAAACCUUACCGUUUCACAGAACACCAAAUUCAAUCCACGCUUGGACACACGGGCACCAAAAGAGUUGCUACAAGUAUUCAUGAACCCAAGCAGCUCAUCACCUAUCCUAGAGAUAAAUAUCCUCCAGUAAAACACAGCACAGAAGGUUCGGGGUACUCAAGGCAUAAGCUAGGCAUUGCAAAUACUGGAACCAGAAAUUUUUAGGACCCUAAAUCGGAUCGCGGUUAAUAAUCGCGAUCCAAAUCAGGGGUCAUGUUGCAAGUAUUUGUUCUAGCAUUUUAUAAAUGGAUCUCUAAAUCGGAUCGGAUCGUGAUUAUUGGUCGCGAUCCAAAUUAGGGGUUUGUUCUGAAAUUUAUAAAACGACCUCUAAAUUGGAUCGCGAUUGGCCUGGCCACGGUCGGCGGCGGCUCGUACGACCGGGUGUGUGCUGCGGCCGCCUCUGUCGGCGACGUGCUCGUCCCGGCCGGAGCCGACAACUACGGCCGCCGCGCGGGGAAGUCGCCGUCGCUCGCCCGGCAAGCGCAGGGUGAGACAGAGGAUGAAAGGAACUAGCGUAUUGGAACCAGCGCUGCUGCGUUAGACGUUUGAUUUGCACGUGACAACUCACUGCCGGAAGUUCAACGAUGCCCAUUUGGUAGAGGCUAGGUAUCUAUGCGUAUGGACCGACCCUCGGAUAGGGAUGCUUUGGUUCACCAUAGUCCGCACUUUUAUCAAGGGUUAGGUUUCGAGUUUGUCAAUCACAACAGGGGAUCAAUGCUAGAAGGGUGCUUUUCAAUAAAGUAUGUUAGCUCAUGUUGAUAGGAUAUCCAUUGGGUAAUCGCUCAACAGCAGAGAUUGAGGAAACUAUCAAGUCCUUUGGAAGGCUCAUCUUGUGGCAAAGGGACAAUGUACUUUCCAGAGUCAUUAUCAAAGUAAGAACUACUGAUUUGGUGAAUAUUCCACAUUAUUUAAUAAUAUCUGAAGGAGAUGACGUCGAGGGAGUAUUCCUGACAUGUUUUCUUUUUUUUGUCCAUUGUAGAUACACAUAAUAUAUUUCAUCAUAAUAAAAUAAUGAUAUUUUUUAAAAACUUUUUGUCUAAAGAUUGUAUUGAGUAAUAAGGCCCGUUUGGUUCCCUUUGCUUAUUUUUAACACAUGUCACAUCGAAUGUUUAGAUACUAAUUAGAAGUAUUAAACGUAGACUAUUUACAAAAUCCAUUACAUAAGUGGAGGCUAAACGACGAGACGAAUCUAUUAAGCCUAAUUAAUCCAUCAUUAGCAAAUGUUUACUGUAGCAACACAUUGUCAAAUCAUGAACUAAUUAGGCUUAAUAGAUUCGUCUCGUCGUUUAGCCUCCACUUAUGUAAUGGAUUUUGUAAAUAGUCUACGUUUAAUACUUCUAAUUAGUAUCUAAACAUUCGAUGUGACGAGUGCUAAAAAUAAGCAAAGGGAACAAACGGGACAGCCAAUGUAUCUAGAACUGUAAUCUUUCUCUGACAGAGAAAGUAGUUCUAGACUAGCACAGGGUUCAAGUCAGCACAACGUGCGUAACACACGUUCCAACGAAAAACAGUGCUACUGUAGAUGCAUUUUCUUACACUACUCCCUGUCAUAAAAUAAACGUGUAUCUCAUUUCUCGCUAAGUCGAACUUUUCUAAAUUUAACCAUAAAUAAAUAUAAAAAAUCUAUCAACAUUUGUAUAUCUAAAUAAGUUUAUUAUAAAAAUAUAUUACAUGUUUAAUCUAGCUAUACUUAUUAUGCAUUAUAAAUAUUAAUAUAUUUUUUAUGAAUUUGAUCUUCACGAGAAAUGAGAUGUUGAUUUAUUUUGUAACGGAGGGAGCGCAUAGCGCAUGCGGUUCACACUAGAAAACUGCAUCACCGACUCACCAAGGCAACUGUGUCGUCUGUGCGUUGCUUUGGGUUCUCAACUUCUCGUGACGCACAUGACAGUAUGAACUAGCGUACGUACUACGUAGCGUAGGAUCGCUAUUUCACGCAAUCGCACUGCAAGGUCCAAUUUGCAAACCCGGCCAGGCGCCGCCUGUUCAUUUCUGGCUUCCUGACGAGGAUUACUUUGUUAGACAAUGAAAAUGGUACGGUGGUGAGAUUUGUCCCUAACUCCCCGCCCGCCACGGCCGGCCGCACCCGAGCCGCCUCGGCCGCGUGGGGCGCCAUGGGCUUUUCAUCCGCGUCGUCGACGACGUCGACGCCUGCGUAUUCUUGGCCGACGGCAUGCUGACCUGCCGGCACGAUCAUCGUGUGACGACCAUGAUGGGUGCCUUGUGCUCGUCGGCGUUGUCGAACGCCUCGAGAUCAAUGUCGCCCAACGGCUGCAGGAGCGCGUCGUCGAGGCCCACCGUCGCGCUAUCCACAGGUACGGGCGGGAGCUGGUUGGAGAAGAACUGAUGGUCGCCGGCUGCCGGUGGCGGAGGGAAUAUCGGCAGGUCGUAGUAGCUCUCGCCCUCGCUGCAAAGUGCCGAUGACCUGUCGUCAGUUUAUAAUUUAUGGCAUUAUUUGGCCGAGACUCCAGUCCAUGAUUGCUGGAGCCUGGAGCGAAAGAACUGACUGACUGACCUCAGAUUCAUCAGAGCCGACGACGGGCAGUUCGCCGCGGCAGCAAGCGCGCCAUGGCAGGAGCCGUCGAUGAGCUCGUCGUCGCCGCGGCUCAGAUGCGCGGGAGGAAAGGCGGCGAUCGGCAGAGGGUAGUCUUCCGCGCUGCAGGCAAGAGAAUGACAUUGAUUAGUUCGCAGGAGGAGAUGAUGGAGAUCGAUCGAGCGACAUCCAAGAAAUCCAAUGACUCUGUACCGAGUACUGACCUCAGUAAGGCGAGCGGCGAUGGGGGACACAGCGGAGGGAAGUGGUACCAAUCAGCGUCACCGUCGCAGUACGGCACCAUCGCCAUUCGCCAAACAAACAACACAAGGAUUCGAGCAAAGAAAAGCUUUGGUUGGAUGGAGGGAAGAAGAUCCUAUCCUACUGUCCGUGUUGCAGUGGCAUCUAAAUCCAAUACACAGGCAGUGGCAGUGGCAGUGGCUUCAGGAACUGGAACACUAAUUAUAUACACUCGCACGUACGAUCAGGUGGACGGAGGUCAGUGAUGAUGGAUGUGAAGGUGUGCAAUCAGAGAUCAGCGUGAGGAUGAGAGGCGAGAGGAUGGAUCGGAGCAUGAUGGGAACGGGAGAAGUAGUGGAGCAGUAACUGCGCGUGGAUUUUGGGUGGAUUCUGCAGCGAAACCGAUCCGGGCAUUAACUGGGCGUUGGCAUUAGCAUGGACGCAUGCAGGCACGUAGCGAUAGAUAGUGAGGGAGGCACGCGCGCGCGUGCCCGACAGUGCCGGUCCUAAGCUUUUGACGGUCGUCGCGAGAGCCCCUCUAAACUAUAUAUAAAUCUUAUAAUACAUAUAAGUGCUAAUUUUUCUUACAAAGCGAAACCAAACCUAAUAAUAUAUUUUUAAUUUAACAUGUUUCAUAAUUACCAAGGAAUAAUAUAGACUAAAACUAAUAUGAUUACCUUAAGAAAGAAUAGAACUCCAUAAUAUACAUUGCUUCUCAUAAAAAGAUAGUUCUUCGGACAUUUCUUGAUGCAAAAUCAUCAAGGAUGGUAUUGAGAUCAAUAGUGUCCAAGAUAUCCCUCUCGAUGGUGCACAUAGCCAAUCCAUUUAACCUUUCUUGUGACAUAGUUGAUCUCGAAUAGUUCUUCAACAACUUCAAUUUUUAGAAAACUUCUUUCUGCCGAAGCUACAGUCACAGGUACAGUUAAGAGGAUUCGAUAGGCAACUGAAACAUUUGGAUAGCAAUCUGCAACUAUAACAAACUCCAAAAUCUCAAGCGUUGACAUCAAAGAAUCAGGCAAAGUCACUUGUAGCACCUUUAAUUCUGAAAAAAAUCAUUGAUCUCAACAUCGGAUGAGUUAUCCUGAGAAAAUAUUUCCACAAAAUUCUUGCAGUGCAGCCAAAGAUCAGCUUCAUCCAAAGAUUUCAAAUUUUUUGAGUUGAACAAGAACCCAAAAAUGUUAUCAAAUUUUUUCAUCUGCUCAAAUCUACUAGUCAAUGAAGCAAUUGCAGCAUCAAUCAUAACAUUGAAGUACUCUACUCUAAAUGAGUCCACAGCAGAUCGUUGUAUUUUCUCAUCUUGGUCAUCUUGUUCAUCAAAUUGUUUCUUUCUCUUUCCUUGACGUUUUGUACGAAAUUUUGGCUCUAUAUCCAUUUCAGAUGCAAUGUUUUUUGCUGUAUCCAUACUAGAAGUGAAACUUCAUCUCUAUACUUCUUAAAAUAUGAUAUGACACCUUCAAUAUGUUUGAGAGUAUCAUCUAUACUCACAAUUUUAGACUGCAACUUCUUGCUCACCUUAUUUAUAGAGAAUAAAAUAUCGUGCCAAAUAAUCAAACCAACUAAAAAUUCAAAAUUCUCUAGUGCACUCACUAAAGAUUGACAUUCACUAACUGCCAUUGGAUCAUCAUUUGAAGCCUUCUAUAGCGCUAUUAAAGCUGAUCUUAUUUGAGGAGUUUGGAAUCUGAUAGCUUGAACACUUUUUAUUCGACUUUCCCAGCGUGUAUUAGACCACGACUUAACUGUCAAUCCUGGAACAUUGUCCACUAAAAUCUUCCACCUUUUAGUAGAUUUUGCAAACAAUGUGUAUAUAUGUUGGAUGAGACAAAAAAAGAAAUAGCUUGCCUGCAAGAUUUAACAAAUAGUAAGUUUAAAACUUUUCCCAAAACAUGACAUAUUAUAUGAAAAUAAUGUAUAAUAGAAAUAAUAGUUUACCUGAAAGAUUUUCCCAUAUCACAAAGAGUAAGAUUCAGACUAUGACAUGCACACGGCAUGUAUAGUGCUUUUCGAUUAAUUUCAAGCAAGCGCUUCUGAACACCUUGGUGAGAACCCUUCAUAUUUGAACCAUUAUCAUAGCCUUGUCCUCUCACAUCAUCAAUAUUCAAAUCAAGAGAGGCCAAUACAUUCUUUAAUUCAUUAAAAAUACCUAAUCCUGAUGUGUCAUCUACCUUUAAGAACUCCUCUACCCUUGGAACAUUCCUUGACAUAUUGACACACCGAAUAAUUAGUCAUUUGUUCUUCAUCGCUCACAUCUGGAGUACAAUCUAAAAUAACAGAAAAGUACUUGACAUCUUUGAUGAUCUUUAGUAUAGUUUGUUUCACACAAUCUGCAAGAAGAGAAAUCAUCUCAUUCUGAAUUUUAUGCCCAAGAUAAUGAUGAUGAAUCUCACUAUUUUGAAUCCGCCUAAUAUGGUCUUGCAUCACGGGAUCAAAUUCACCCAUCAUUUCAAUUGUGCCCAAAAAGUUGCCAUUGCUAUCUUGAUAUAAUUUCUCAUUUUUCCCUCGAAAAGGCAAAUUAUGUUUAGCAAGAAACUUGACAGCAGAAACAAUUCUUACUAAAACUUGUCUCCAACGCUCUCUCUCCUUUGCAAUUUCUCAUUGCAAAUCAUCAUCAAUUGUUUUAUUUUUGCUCAACCUUAGCCUAAGUUCAUUCCAAGUAUUCAUGUUUGUUAUAUGCUCAACACUAUUCUCAUGUUGUUUGAGUCUAAAACUAAGAUGUUUCCAAUCCCUCAAUCCAUCAUGUGCUAGCAAACUUUUGCUCUGACUUGAUUUAAACAAUUUGCAGCAAAAACAAAAAAUUUUGUACACAUGUUUAGAGUAAACCAACCAUUUUCUAUCAACCACCUCACCAUUGCUUAACUUUCUGGAAUAGUAAGCAUAUGAAAAAUGUCUAUUAAGAGCAUCUGCAGGGAACUCAAGAUUCAAUUCUCUCACCGGCCCCUUUUCAAUCAAUAUAUCUCUACCUUUAUUAUCAAGAUUUCCCCAAAUUCUAGGAUCAAAGACAUCAUGAAUAGAAGCUUCUUGCACAUCAUCAAUUGAAUUUUCAGGUUCACAGGAAGGCUGUAAAUUUUCAUUCUCUGUAGCAUCAUCAAUGUCAUCAACUUGUUCACUUAAAUUAUCAUUAAUUUGUUGAUAUUGCAGCCCUUGUUUCUUCAAUAUCAAGUGCAUCUACAGGAUUAUCAUCAGGCACAACACUGCUUGAAGCUGAAAAAAAACUUAUGUAUAGCACCUUUUUGAGAUUCAAUAAAUUGAUCUUCUACUCUUUUCCGUUUUCUUUUCUGAGACCCCGACAAAUGUUUCUUAGGUAACAUUCUAAGUUUCUAGCACCUAAAUUAUAAGAAAAAUACGACUAUAUGAGUACCGAGUACUAGAAGUCCGAAGUAAUUAAUUUAGAUUAAAAACGAUCAAGAAAAAAAAAACCUAGAUCAUACCUGUGCGGCUGACCCGCUGUGCGCCUGUCAGCCUAUGCCGCACGCGCGGUGCCGCGUGCCACACGGUGUGCCGGUGUCACUGUCAGACUGUGCAGUGCAGCCACGCAGGCCGAUCCCCUCCGGCGGCAGUGCGGCACGGUAAUCGCCUAAUCGAUGAGACAACGACUCGGUGACUCACGAGUGGACGGCGUGCCGAUUCGCGUUCACGGAUAAUGGACCGACGGACGAGCGGUACGCGUUUUGGCUUUCUCACGCUAAAAGCCUGGCGCUAGCGGCCUGCUGCAGUAGUCUGGUUGUCAGGUUGUGGCCUGUAUGGCUGUAUCCGUAUACAUGGGGUCCUGGGCUGGCCCCCCCUCUGUGGGCCCUAGGCCAUCGCACCCCGUGCCCCCUCCCAGGGCCGGCGCUGGCCGCGCCAAGCCUAGGGAGGGCCACCACCUCCGCCGCCAUUCACCACCCGCCAUGAGACCACCCCGACGGCGCGCCUUGGCUAGCGGUGGACCGCGGGCGGCGCCAACCUCGUCGGAGCUGCCACUGCACCGUCAUGCCCACCAUCAGCCCGCAGCGGAGCCCCUCGACGGAGCCGCGCGUGACUUGGUUGCACGCUAGCGUCGGCGAGAGGGCCCGCGGCAGAGCCAGGUAGGGCGGCGAUGGAUCUGCACGGGUGCAGAAGAGCGGAGGCGAGGAAAGGAGAGCGGCGACGCAGUUGCAGUGGAGAGUUGCGGCUGAAGGGGGCGGAAAUGGCCUAGGGUUUCAGGGGAGCCGGUGCUAGGGAGUUUUUGUUCCGCCGAAACACAAGUCCGGCCGUCGGAUGACGAUCAACGGCUUAGAUUAAGCUGCUAGCUUCAGUGGGCUCCGAGCCCAGGCAGGUUGUGGCGGCCUAACCAUUGGUUGGCAGGCCACAAUAUAUUAAGCUAUGGCGAGCUGCACGUUGGGCCGCUUUUAGCUGGCGGGCCAGUUGCCAUUUUGGCUCACACAAGCCGGGAGGAAGCGCGUGCGCUCAGGCAUUUUCACAUGCGUCAGCUUAGGCAGCUAGGCCAUUUUGCCUUGCGUCAGUUGGGCCAGCACUGGCCGCCUUGCGCGCUGGCAGGCCGCUAACGCGGGCCGCUGCCAGGCCAAGCAGCCUUAAGUGCUGGGGUGCCGCGAGCUGGUUUUGAGUACUGGGCCGCUUCGGCCGCUGCCAGGCCAUGAGUACUGGGUCACCUCUACGAGCAGGGCUCGCGGGCAGGCCGCCGCAUAGGCCGCACGAAUGUAGCGCGAGCUGGUUUGGGCCAUUAGUUUGCCGGCGGGCCGUCUUCGCGUUCAAAGUGCACAUGAGACUAACGUGAAAUUUUCCUAUUCCUUAUAUUAGUACCACCUCGCCAUAUGAAGCAGUGUCGCACCAGCUUAAAUGUUCGUCCUCGCGAGCCAUCCUCGCUGAGCUCGGUUGCACGGGCUUGUAACCCAAGUGGGGACAUUAAGGUGGUGUGGAUGUUUAGUGCGGACUCUGAGCUUGGUAGUGUCCUGUGCGGCUCAAGCGAAAGCUCGGGCUUCACUGGAUUUGAAGUGGCAGCAACGACGUGAGGCUGGCUUCACAUAGCAGUGAUCACUGCCCGCUUCCGACGGUGGAAGGAUAACAGACCGCUACAUCACGGGCCCAACCUGAACCCUGAGGAGCUGGUGACGAGGAUCGGAGAGGGAGCGGGUCUGGUCGGAUCGUGAGAGCAAAUAAAGACCCGUAGCAACGCACCGCAAUUUCUGCUGGUAAUAAUAAUGACGAAAGAGCUAGUAAGGUGGCAAAUCCGCACGUAGUGGCCUCUUUGGCAGCCCACUUUCCCCGAAGGGAACCGGCUCCGCGCCGCGCCGGCCCACGCGGAAAUCUUCCACACCGAGCCCAUUUUGCGCGUUUGGCAGCCUGCUGGCCGCGGCUCUCAGCCGAAUCAGCCCAGCUUCCACGCGGAAACACUCCCGACUUCCACAGGUCGGGAAGCGUUCCGCCCCGUCCCCGUCGUCUCGCGACAUCUCCUCCUCGCGGGAGAGACCGCCGCCGCCGCCACCUGACCUCCUCCUCCGCCACCCGAUCUCCUCCGCCGCCACCCUCGUCUCCGUCCUCCCGCGACCUGUCUGCCCUGUUUCAGGUAAACCAUUCGAUCCGUCCUCCCGCCUGCUUCCGCUUAUCCUCCUCCUCCUCCUACUACUCCUUACAAAGACGGCGUCUUUGGCUGUAUUCUUUCGGUUGGGGAAACCUGUUAGCGCUACCUUUCUUGACGCGCGAUUCGGUUGCUAGUGGAUUGGAUGCGGGGGAGCGUGUGGCGCUUCAUGAUUCAUCUCCCCCUAGAUCUGCUGCUGCGCGAUGAGGGCGGCGGUUUUCGCUGCUUCUGCGGUGCUGUGGAGAUGAGUGUGUCGAUUUGAUGUAUUUUUAAGUUGGAAUCUAAUGUUAGCCGCCUGGAUCUCUGGUAGAUUUGGGGUCUAAUUUAUCUAGUUCAAUAAUGUCACACAAGUUAGUUUGCAUUUACUCCCAGGCCUCUUCCUUCAGCCAAGAGAAUCAAAUGAUUAGGCAGGGUUAGUUUGCAGUUGCAAAUGUCUCCUACAAGUUUCUACCCUGCACACAGCAAAGGAGUAUAUUUUCAUUCUUCAUUCACUUUCAAUGAUUUGUGUUGUAGCUUGAUAUAGUUUACCGUGAGUACUUGAAAAGGUGACUCUUGAACCUAGUGAUUACCUUCACAAAAGCAUUUACCUUCCCAAAAGCUAUUGCUAGUGUUCCGCGCAUGUUUGUUUCACUUUCACCCAGCGCAUGUUGCAUGGACCCAGAGUAUUAUAUUAGUAUUUCGCACAGGGCUCGUUUCAAGUUAAGUUCGAGUCUUCAAUCGAGUUACACUUUCUGGUCAAUAACAAGCAAACAUGAUAGUUUAUUUAUCAAAAAUAACAAAAAUAGGAACCCCACGCAACCACAAAUGUAGGGACGGGGCUGUGUGCACACCAUUGCAAGGCGUCUGAAAUAUUUUAUGGUUUAUAAAAGGGUUACCAUGUGUUUACCGAACUUAUUUUUAAUAGAAAAUGAUGAAGCCGCCUUAAAAAUCUCUUUUAACCGUAGCAGGGAAGUAAUUUAAAUAGUUUGUGAGAGUCGAGGGAGACAAUUUCUUGACUCCGGAAAAAAUGUAGGGACGCAAAGAAAAAAAAUCCAGGCCCUAAACCCUGGGACUCCAUUUCUUCCUUCUUUCGCAGCCCAUGCCGGCCCAAUUCGACGCAUUGCGAGAACAGGAGGCCCGCCGCCACGCCGCCCACUAGGUAGGUUUUCUUUGGGAUCUCACCAUUUCUUCCUCGUCUCCGUCCCUACACAGCGCUGCCGCCAGCUGCUGCCGGGAGCCAAGCCCAAGCUUGAGCGUAAGCCAUGGCGAUCAGUUCUCUUAUCGCCUCGAGGUUCGCCAGGUCUAGCCAUGCCCUCCCCGCUGCCGCCGCGGCCAUCUCUCAGGUGCCACCUCCCCCUCCCCCCCUUUCGUCCUGUUGGCUGUUCGUGUGUCGAUGUUGAUCUGAUCAAUUUGUAUGUUCCACCGCAUGGUCUGAUCAGGCUCCCAGGGCCCAGCACACCGCAUCUCCUCUACUCUCCGGCCUUGGAGCAGCGGCGCGUGCUUUCAGGUAAAUAUAACUAUACAAGCUUAUUAAGUUAUUAUGUAUGCGGAUCGUCACCAACGCUAGCUUGUGCUUCUAUGUCAUUCUACCUCUUGCAUUGCUCGUUGAUUGUUGAAUGUAUCUACUGCUAUGUGCAGCUCAAGGGCUCUAUGGAAGGGAGCAUUCGUUGACGCUUUCCUGGCUAGAAUAAAGAAGAACAGAGAAAACAUGAAUGGCAAGAAGAUUUGGUCUCGUAGAUCUUCUAUUUUGCCGGAAUUUGUUGGUUCCUCUGUGCUCAUUUACAAUGGAAAAACUCAUGUCCGGUGCAAGAUCACUGAAGGGAAGGUUGGCCAUAAAUUUGGAGAGUUUGCUUUUACAAGGAGACGAAGGCCUCAUCGAACAAUAACAGGAAAGGGAAAGCAAGGAAAAGGAAGAAAGUAAAAGGAGAAAUGUGCAUGAAAGGUGAGGUUAUAAAUAUCAUAGGAGAUGAAUUUAGAUGUCAGCUGAUACUGCAUAAAGUUUACCUGCAUUUUAAGGCUUUUCUGUAAUAUCUGAACUUUUAAUUAGUUGCUGGUAGGAAAAAAAACAUUCAGCUAGCACUAAUUUGUGUUCCCUGUCACAAUAAUCUGGGUUGUUUGUAUUUUAGCUUCCAGCCUAACUGGUGAGAAAUGAUGGAACACAGGAAAAAAAAUUAAACCCACAUUGCCACAUCCUGCUUGUGGUAUUCUUUUAGAUCUGAUUGGUAGAUUUGAUCAAUUCCCAACCUAUGUUUCGAAAAUUGAUGUAUUAGUUGAGUAGAUUCCACUCUAUAUUCAAAAAUCGAUGUAUUAAUAAAUAUUAGAUAAUUUCAUUUCCUUCCCAGAAAGAUAAAGGUUCCAAAGAUUUGUGUGGUAGAUCAGAAGUUAUGGCAAUCUGAAUUCGACCUGUUUUCCUGCACAUUAUUCUUUCCCCGCUGUACAAUAUCCUUGUCCGUUUAUCUUGUAGCAAUUUUAACCCCUGCAGGUGAUUGAAUUAUCUUUUUGUGAUAACAAUAUAGUUGUUGUCUUUUUCUGGGUAUAGAUAGCAGAUGCAAAAUUGUGAAGUGAUUGUAUAUUGCAAGAGAGGUGAUGUGUCUAAGUAUAGGAGCAUAUCUUUUAUUUAUGUGUUUGAUAAGUGUAUUAGUGAGCUGUGCCUCAUGUCAGGGUUGAUCCUUGCCGGCAAAUCUUUGUCACAUGGUUAAGAGAUGAUAGCCCAGAUUUUUGCUGCUUUUAUUGUGGUUGGAUUAAAUUGAUUUGUCCUACUUGUGCAAUUGAGCUAUGAAUAGCGCUACAUAUCUUGCUAAAAUGUGUGAUCUGUGUCUCUGUGUACACAAAGGCUGGAAGCAUCCAUUCCACAUGUGUUAUCGGCAUGCUUUUAGUGUGCAUUAUGCAUAUAUAGAGUGGUAGCUGCGAAAAGAUCGCCCAUCUAAAGCCACAAUCUGUACCGAGUGCACCUAUGAAGCAAGCAUGUGUUAUGACAUCUUAUGCCGGUUAGAAUGGGAACACAGUUGAGAUAUGUGGCCAUAAAUAUGAGCGAGGGUGUUCUCAGUUGCUUAUGAGAUAAUUACAGAAGUUUGGCGCAUUAAAUGUGUUUUCACUAUGAUUGCGAGGAUCAUUAAGCUUACAGGGCAAUGCUUCCUUCUUUUCAUUUGCUCAGAUGUUUACCAUUCUCUGUUCAUAACUUUUCAGGUGGGUUUGAGGACAGCGCGAUGAGGGCGUAGUUGACGAACAAGCACUUGAAUCACCUGAAUUUAUGAUCUGGACUGCUUUUUCUUAGACCAAUAAUUGCAGGAGAAUGUUACCUCAUCUUACUUGAAGAUUUGCCCAUGUACUCUGUUCCUCUGUUAAUUCCUGCUUACUAUUGGUGUUAUGAAUUAACAUUAAACUGAUGGUAAGUUAUGCUUUAGAGUGAUUGUUUUUGGCCAAAAUUAGCUACAUUUCUGAUAGAGUAUCUCUUGUUCAAACUGACUGCUGCUAGCAAACUUGACUACUUGAGUGCCUCAAGUUGCCGUUUGAUAUUUGCACGCACUCUUGCUCGUUUGCUCAACAUCAUUCGCUGAAGCAGACAAGUUUUGCCGCACAUCAUUUUCAAAUAGCAGAAGAAAUUCCCGACAAACUGAAGACUGAAUCAAUAUACACUAAUUUAUGCAGAUAUCUAAGGUCCUGUUUGGAUCUAUUAGCACUAAAAAUUAACUAUUAGUUCCAUUAGUAGGUUCAAAGUUACUAAUAGAUGCUAAUAGUUCAUAUACAUCUUCAACUCACUGUCUAACCACCUAAUAGCACUAAUAGCAUGUGGAUCCAAACAGACUCUUAGCUAAAAAAUAGCAACUAUUAGUUAUUAGCUAGCUAAUUUUGUGCUGAUGGAUACAAACACGCCCUAAGAUAGUCGCCGUAUGUUUGAACUAAUGGAGAGAUUCGUCAUGUCAACAUCAAUAUGUCCAGCUACAUACAAUCAAUGUCAGUCCUGGAUUGCUCACGUCAACAUCAAAUACGUCAGCAAGUUUUGCCCUACACCGUUUACUUAAGAGCAUGUCAAGAGUCUCUCUCUAAAUCAUUAUUUGAAAAACCAUUUGUAUAAAAUUCGCUUUCUACAUCUUUUCGCUCUUCAAUAGUUUUUCUACAUUUUAUGUGUAUUUUACAGAGCCAUUCUCAUUUUGUAUCUUUGGCUAGCGAAAAAUCUAGAAUAGAAGAUAACUAUAUUUGGAUAACAAAAUAAAGAAGCCAUAUUUUUUUUAUUAAAAUCUCUAUUUUUUAGCAAUUAUUAGAGAGGAUAUAGUCUCGGAGUUGCUCGAACAUUUACACAGGUUUAUCAUGCCACAGCAUUUCAAACCAUAAUUAUUUAAUUCAGAGAAAGAAAUAAGAUUGUUUGAAAAUUUGCUGCCGCAAAAGGUAAAUUGUGUCAUUCUAAAUGGACCUUGUGUAGCAUUGUCAAUUUGUUUUUUAUAAUAUUAAACCCAGCAGAUUGCAAGGUCUCCAUUUAUUCUGUUCAAAAAGAUCGUUUUGUACAUUCAAAUGGCAGUUUAGCUUGAAUAAUGGCUAAACAUUAGCUUUAAGUAAACACGAUCAUGAUGACAAGAGGCAUUUUGCAGAUGCAAUUCGCCAAUUUCGGUGGCCUUUGAGCGCACACAUUCCAUUGACCCAGAGUAUUUGCAACCUCCUCAAAAUUCUCGUUUGAAGUUAAACUGAACUUUCUGUGACGUUACAGUUUCUGGUUAAUAAUAACUGGCUGCUGGGAAAUACACGAUGGUUUAUAUAAAAAUAAUAAAAAAAUGGAAACCUCGCACGCACACGGGAGCAAAAAGCUGUACAAUUCACUUGUAAUCCUCCAGCCUAUGUAGCAUCAUUGUUUGCUUUGAGCUGUGAUACAAACAUCCAAGUUAGCCUAACCACAAUUUAUGGAUUAUACAACAAGAGCACGUCUGAAUUAUACAGCACAAACAGCAUCGGUGCAGUAGAAAACUGAAAAAUGCAGCAUCUCAAACAAAGCUUCCAAUAAAGAAGUAGAACAGUGCACUCAGCACGUCCAGUGAAUCUAGAAUCAGACAGAUAUCUUGAAAUAUCGCUUCAGCUUAUAAGCCGGCUGAAAAGCUGAAACGGCUGAUUUGUUGUGAGAGAAAAACACUGUUUGGUGGCUGAUAAGCCGGCUGAAUAAGCUGAAGCGAACAGGCCGAUCAACAUCGCAUCCGUGAAACCCAAACAGCUCAUCACCUAUCCUAGAGGUAAAUAUCCUCCAGUAAAACACAGCACAAAAGGUUCGGGGUACUCAAGGCACAAGCUGGGCAUUGCAAAUACUGGAACCAGAAAUUUUGAGAAGGACCCCUAAAUCGGAUCGCGGUUAAUAAUCGCGAUCCAAAUCAGGAAUCAUGUUGCAAAUAUUUGUUCUGGCAUUUUACUAACGGAUCCCUGCAUCGGAUAAUCGCGACCCAAAUCAGGGGUUUGUUCCGAAAUUUACAAAGGAUCGAUCGCGAUCAACCAAAUCAGGGGCGUUUUGAAAAUGUUCCAUCCGCCAUUUUACGAAAUCCGCGCGGAGAGCAGACGGCGAGCCCGCGCCGCCGCCGGCGACCUCUGCUAGCUCCAGCAGCAGGGAAACCUUCUCGGCGGCGCCUCUCCAUGCGGACGCUGUACAGGAGGCUGGUGGCGUGGAGCGACUCCGACACGGAGGACAACGACCGGCUGCUGGCGACGCCGACGAGCCGCCGGGGCCUGGCCACGGUCGGCGGCGGCUCGUACGACCGGGCGUGUGCCGCGGCCGCCUCUGUCGGCGACGUGCUCGUCCCGGCCGGAGCCGACGACGACGGCCGCCGCGCGGGGAAGUCGCCGUCGCUCGCCCGGCAAGAGCAGGGUGAGUACAGAGGAUGAAAGGAACUAGCGUAUUGGAACCAGCGCUGCUGCGUUAGACGUUUGACUUGCACGUGACAAACUCACCGCCGGGCCCUGUGCAACGCGUGCUUGCAGGCUUUCAUUGCCGCGGCGGCGGGGGCUCGUCGCCGGCGGCUGCCUCUGCGCUUACCUGGCCUGGCGGCACUGUGGCAGCACGGGCAAGCUGCCAAUCCCCGUCUUGAUUUGAUCCACGCAUGUUCCCAUGGUUCAAAAAUGAUGACACGUUUCGCAUCGUCUUCAGCUUCAACAGCAGCAGUUCGGUCCAUGGAAUUUUGAUAUGUUGCAUCUUGUAUAUGGUCAGCCGGACACAAUUAUAUCUGGAUUCGCCGUGAGACAUUUGAGAUGAAUACGAACGAACAUGGGGUUUAGAUGAAAUUUACAUGACCGCGUGAUGAUUCAUUGUUUGGCUGAGACCGGCAAGCCGUAGCACCCCUCCAAUCCUCCAUGGACUCUAUGCAGGCAAGUUCUUUCCAAGGUUUCUCCGGUAGCAAGCAAUUGCAGACAGAAACCUUGAAAAACGGUUACUAAUAAUGCUCUGAAAGCGAAACAGCAAAGGUAAGUUAGCAGAUGUCUGAAACUAAAACAACCGAGACGUUGAAGUCAAACUCUGAAAAAUAUUUACGCUUGAAUGCUUAGGCUUCUGAAGAAUCUGAUAGUGAUGUACAAGACCUCAGUACAAGGAUAUAUCUUCUAUAUCUCCUAAACUGCAACCAUGUCAAAAAAAAGUGGCCCGGCUGUCUCUAUUCUCUGCAGGUACACUUCCCUCCCCUGAAAAUGUGGAACCCUGACGAGUCUCUGACCGAGAUCACCUUACCGGUGGCGGCGGAGGCGUGCUCCAGGAAAGAGUGGCAGUCGCCGCACAUGCGGAUGUUCUUCACGACGCGGACGGCCCGCCCCGUGCCUGCCGUCAGGAUGCCGUACAUGGCCGCCAGCUUCGCGCUGUGGUACAUCAGGAAGUGCCGCUUCUGGUACUCCUCGACGUCGUGGAGGACGAAGGUGGUGUCCGGCUCGUACCCGGCCUUGAUGCACUCGAGGAUCAGCACGUCCAGGCCCGCGUAGAUGUCCUUGGACUGCGGGUGUGAUCUGUCCCGUGCGAAGAACGAGUGGACAGUGUUGUCGUUGAACGUCCAGCUCCGUGCUGGGAUCUUGCGCAUGCCCUUCUCGCGCAUCUCCAGCCUUGUGGUCUCAGAGGAGUGCCACCUUGCUGAUUCGGAGAAGAGAUUUGAUGUCAAUACGUAAGUGGAUGGAUCUUGUGGUUCCAAUGCAAGCAAAUGCUUCAUAGCUCGUCUUCGCACGGUCAUGUUGGAGCGCUUGCUGCAGCUGUCUAGCAAAGACCGCCAAACUAAUGCACCAGGCUUGAAUGGCAUACCGCCUAUAAGCUGUUCUGCCUCAUCAAAGUGACCCCAGCAGCCAAGAACGUUAACAAAAGCUGCAUAGUGCUCCAUGGCUUGUUCAAUUCCAUAGCUGCUUGACAUCGAAAGAAAGAGUUCCCUGCAUUGGUCUGUAGAAUCUGAGCUUGUGUGACUGCAAGCAGAUAUGACCAGAAGAAAGGUAAUGGAAUCAGGCCUGAUGCCUAAUCUCUCCAUCUGACCCCAUAUGUCCAAUAUCUCUUCUCCCUGACGAUGAAGAAGAUGGGCAGUGAUCAUUGCAUUCCAUGACACCAGGUCUCGACAAGUCAUCCGCUCAAAGAAAUUGACUGCGUCAUCCAACUCCCCACACUUGCCAUACAUACUGAUGAUAGCAUUACCGACUCCACAAGCAUACAGAAGCCCAGAUUUUGCAGCAAAGGAAUGCAUUUGCUUUCCAAGUUCAGCAACACCCAGAGCGCCACAUACUCCAAGGGCAGCAGUCAGCAUGAACUCAUCGAUGAAUCCUACACCACUGCUUCUAAACAUCUGAAGGAAGGUUGAAAGUGCUUUCUCAUACUCGCCAUCUCUGACACUAGCCAGCAGCAAAGAAUUCCAAGCAAUAUGAAAGCUCUCUUGAUGGCGCCAUUGCUCAAACAACAGAUGUGCAUCCCCAGAACGGCCGCACUUGAUGCACAUAUCGAUCAACGCGGCAUCUAUCCAAGGAGUAGAGCCGCAGCCGCACUUUGUCACAAAAGCAUGAACCUGCUCACUCACCUUCCUAUCUGCAGCAAUAGCACAGGCGUUCAGAGCACCGGUCACCGUGACAUCUGAGACCUCCAGCCCAUCCUCCACCAUUUGCCUAAACAGCCCCAGGCCUCGGAGCCCUGCCUUCUUCGCGAACGUGACCCGCACGCCUUCCUUGUUCUGACAAAAUCCGGUCAGGACCGCAUUGUAUGUGACAAAGUUCCUCUCAGGCAUCCGAUCAAACACGUCCAGAGCCAUGUCGACCAGACCGAACUCCAUGUACCCAUUCAGCAACCCGGUCCACGAAAUCACAUCCUUCACUGGCAUCCCCUGGAACACGCUCACCACGUCUUCGACGGAGCUGCCAUGCUCCGCGUAGAACCCGAUGAGCGCAUUGCCCACGCUCAGGUCCGUCUCCAGCCCGGACUUGAGCGACAGCGCGUGCACGGCCUCCCCCUCGGGGAGGCCGACCCCCUCGCCCGCCGCGGCCAGGAGCGCCGACAGGGAGAAGCUGUCGGCGCGGACCCCGCUGGCCCGCAUCUCGCCGAACAGCCCGAACGCCUCCUCGUGCCGCCCCAGCUCGACCAGGCCGGCCAGGACGGCGUUCCACGAGGAGACGUCGCGGCGCUCCAUGCCGUCGAACGCCCUCAGCGCGUCCCCGAGGCGGCCGCACUUGACGUACAUGCCGAGGAGCGCGUUGUCGACGAGGAGCGACCCGGGGCCGGAGCACGAGCAGUGGCCGGACUUGGCGGCGAGCGCGUGCACCUGGGCCCCGAGCCGCGGGUUGCCCCUGCGGGCGCAGGCGGUGAGGAGGCCGACGAAGGUGUACUCGGUGGGGUCCAGCGCGUCCGCGAGGCGCAUGCGGGCGAGCAGCGCGGCGGCGGCGGACGCGGGGGAGCCGAGGCGCGCGUGGCCCGAGAUGAGCGCGCUGUAGGAGGCGGCGUCGCGCGCGGGCAUCCGGUCGAACACGCCCCGCGCGUCGGCCAGGCGGCCCGCGCGGAGGUACGCGCACAUGACGGCAUUCGCGGCGCGGGCGUCCGGGGAGGUGGACGUGCCCAGCGCGCCGGACUUGACCGCCACCGCGUGCGCGGCGCGGGGGUCGGCGGCGUGCGCGCGGACGGGUAGGCGGGGAGGGGGACCAUGGGAAGGCGUAGGAGGAGACGGCGCGGGCGGGAAGGGGAGGAAGGGAGGGGGCGGGGAGGGGAGGUGGAGCGGGUGAGGGGAGGAGGGGGAUGAGGUGGAGAUGGCCAUUCAUUUCACUCCGAGGCACGCGGAGCUAAGCUUCGGCAGGCUUGCUGUGCUCGGGCAGCUCGCUCCUCCGCGCUCUCUCGCGCCCCACCCCUCACGGCGGGACGGAGAUCCAGUGCAUUCAUCUUGGGCUUUCUCUCUCUCUCCCCCUGUUUGUUCCGCGGCCUGGUGGGUCGGUCUCAGCAGCUCCCGACCACACCGGUAUUGGGCCAGGUCGUCCUGACCGACCGAGCUUUCCAAUUGUUUUCCAGAGUGCCCUUAAUUUUACCUAGCCUUUUUCCAUCUCUCAAAACAAAUACUCCCUAUAUCCUAAAAUAUAAUACGUGGUAAAAUUUGGCAUGGUCUUCCGUACUAAUAUUUGACUCUCAAUAUUUCCUAUAAUAUAAUAUUUGUAGCAGUAAAAUUAUAGCGAUAUAAAAAUAUUUUUAAAUACAAGUCCAAUGAUAUUAUAUUUUUAUAAGAUAAUGUUUUUAUUAUACAAAAAUAAUUUUAGGCUAAAACUUUUGAAAUUUGCAUCUUAAGUUACGUGCACUCCUUUGUAUUAUGGGAUGGAGGGAGUAUCGGCUAACCAAUUACAACAAGUUCAGGUGCUACACGCGGCAAAUGUUUUAUUCGCCGCGAUAUGCUUUGCCACUUGUCAUGAAAACGGAAAGGAAUGUUGCUGUGGAGUACUUUUGCACCAUCACUGAACAAUAUCUUUGUUUUAAGAAUUCGCAGGUACGAAUCGAAUUCUCGUACUUUGGUAAUAAAAAGUUGACGACUCUCUUUUUUAAAGAAGAAGAAGAAGAAACGAUGGCCGAGCGGUCAGCUUCCACCCUUUUGGGUGGAUGGACCAAACGCCGUCGAAAUCUCUUGUGGCCACCAGAUACAUGAGCACUGCCAGGUACAGGAACCCAAGCAUAAACGGCAGCAUCAGCGGCAGGGUGAUGAGCCAGCGCGGUGGCGCCGCCGUCGUGGAGCGCUACCCGCGCGAGGCCAGCCUCCAUCGCCACCGUGAGCACCACGAACGCCACCUGCAAGUCUGCAACGCGCACAGAUGACAGAGGUCGGCAAGUAAGAAACGCAUGCACCAUCUAUCUGAUUCCAAAUGUAAUUAACGCUGAGCUGAGAGCCGCGCGUACGUCGAUGCAGGCCUUGCGGAAGGGGCUGAUGGGCCGGAGGGGCAGCUCGUCGACGUGCCGCAAGGGGUCCCAGCAGGGCUCGUCGCCGGCGUCAACGGCGCUCUCGUCGGCGUCGUAGUCGGCGACCUCGAGGAUGAGGUCGCCUGAUGAGCUCGCGGUUAUUAGGUCUUCGGAGGCCUCGAGGACGAAGUAACAAGGUGCGCCGGAUCCGUCGCCGCCGGAGACGACGACGGAGUAGUCGACGGCCGGGCGAGGCAUGAACAUCGACGGCGGAGGGCAGACAUGAAGCGCGCAUACAUUUUGACUAUACAUGAAGAAGUUCAUGUCCUUAUUCACAAAAAAAGAAGAAGAAGUCCAUGUCCAUUUCUUGGGCAUAUAGUUAAUAUCCGAAAAGCGCAAAAUUAACUGGAUCUUUAGAAUGGCCGAAGAAACUCUUUAGGAUAGCGUACAAGCAAACGUUGGCAGGAGUGGUAGAAGAUGCAUGGUGUGCUACACAUGCGCUUCCUUUCUUCGGUUCUCUCUCUCACUUUCGCGAAAUUGAGCAAAAUUUGGUUGGAAGUAGGGGACGGACUCAUUCAUCCGGCAAUGGAGACCAUCGCGACUUUGGGCGAAAUUGAGCCGAAUCCUGCGGAUUUCUCCCUCCGGGAACGAGAGGCAGCUCCGGAUUUCGAGGUGCCGAAUGGAUCCACCUUUGGGCUAUUUCUUGGCCACGAGGCUGACGCCCUGACGCGAGGAGGAGCAUGAGAGGAGGAGGAUGUCGUCGUGUUCACUACUGGCGCGGCGGAGGAAGCGUCCGGCCCGGCGCCGCACGCUGUGCCGACUGCCGACAAGGCGACAGGGACAGAAGCGCGCACCCCGCUUCGGGCUUCGGCGCUUCCCUGCGCAGCCCGGCGUCGGCCUCUGCCCCUGCUCCGUUUCACCCCGGCCGCGUAAUUCCUGGCGUGGCAGCGUGAGAUGAGCACGAGCACUGGGAUAUUUAAUUAAUUGUCACAGUAAGAAAUGGUGCAUUUUGAAAAUCACUUUUAGAAUUUCAUCUACAUUUUUACCAUUGGAGAGAAGAUUGAAAUUCUACAUUUUUACCAUCGGAGAGAAGAUUUAGUUACACAUUCGCUAUUUUAGUCUCCGUGGCGCACCAUGUCACGCUUCCACGCUGGACUCCGCUAACGGGCUUCGUCAUCCUCCGGCGCUCUUAUGCUGCAUCGGCGGCGCUGGGUCCUGCUCCCUCCGCUAGCGCCUCUUCUUCCUGACGUGGUGCGCGUACAGGAAUAGCAUGAAGAGGAGACCCACGCCAGCGAUGUCCUCGAGGACGAUGGCGACAAUGGCCGCCGGACGGAGCUUCUCCUGGUCCUGCGGUGCCUGCGGCUGCCCGUCGGCGCCCGACGGCGUGCGGGCGGGGUGACGGCUUGAGGCGCUUCCGCGGCGGCUUGGCGAGGUCCUCCAGCGACCCCACAGCGGCGAGCGAGGCGAAGGACUCGGACUUGCUGUCGAAGAACCUGGACAGGCCCCUCUUGAAGGGGAGCUCCGUCAUGUGGCCGGACAUCUCAAAGCGGUCAGAGCCGGUGGUGGAGGAGGAGGAGCUCGCGUCGUCGUCGAGCUCGGAAGACUCCCCGGACGUGGACGGCGACGACGACUCGGAGGACUCCGACGGCGAGCCGAUGUCCUCCUCCUGCUCCUCGCACGCGGUGGCCGCCUCCGGCCUCCCGCUGCGGAACAAGUAGUACGCGGCCUCCAUGAUCCAAGAUCCUCCGAGACCCCGAGAUCAGACCAGACGAAGAGCACUCAACGAAGAGAAAGAGAUGGAGCAAAAGCAGCGCUGUGACACGGCGUGGGUGGCGGAGGCAGACAGGGACUUCGACCCCGACGUCUGGGUCGACGGGCUGGCCAGCAUGGCCACCAUCUUCGCCGACGCGGCAUGAGCCUGCGGAACGAGGUCCGUGGCCCGAGGCAGAACACCGAGGACUGGUACACGUACAUGCAGAGGGGCGCGGAGGCGGUGCCGCGAUGCGCGCGGCGAACCCCCGGGUGCUGGUGAUCAUGGGCGGCCUGAGCUACGACUACGACCUGUCCUUCCUGGCGGCAAGGCCGGUGGGCGUGAGCUUCGCGGCGGAGGGCAAGCUGGUGUUCGAGGUGCACUGGUACAGCUUCUCGGAUGCGCGCGCGCGGGAGGUCGGAAACGCCAACGAGGUCUGCGCCCGCGCCACGCGCUAACUUCGAGCGCCGCGGCGGGUUCCUCCUCGCCCAGGGCCUCCCGCUCUUCCUCAGCGAGUUCGGCGCCGACCUCCGCGGCGGCGACCUCAGGGGCAACCGCUACUUCCCGUGCGCCGCCGCCGUGGCCGCCGAGCACGACCUCGAUUGGGCCUACUCGGCGCUGCAGGGCGGGGGCUCACGCCCUGAUCCAUGCCGUCCCGUCCACCAGCAGUAUACAAUGCGCGCAGGAACAAGAACGGGGAUGGAGAAUCGGAGAUCGGGUCCGUUCGCUUCAGCUUAUUCAGCCGAUUUAUCAGUCACCAAACAGUAUUUUCCUCUCACAACAAAUCAGCCAUUUCAGCUUUUCAGCCGGCUUAUAAGCUGAAGCGAACAGGCUCGAGUAGCAGCCGGACGAUACUAGAGGCACCGGGAUCUUUUCACGAGCGGCGUCCAAUGUGGAAGCGUGACAUGGCGCACCAGUGAGACUAAAAUGACGAAUGUGUAACUAAAUCUUCUAAGUGGUGACAAAAAUAUGGAUGAUGAAAUUAUAAAAGUGGUUUUCGAAGGUACGACAAUUCUUACUGUAGCAAUUAAUUAAAUAUCCCACGAGCACCACACCGUGCGAGGGGAGGCAUCACUGGUCGGAUCUUCUGAGCCCAUCCCAGCCCUGCCGCCCGUUCGCCAUUAUACUGUUGUCCCGCCCGUUUGGUGACUUGGCACGGUCACCGGACACUGAAGACGACGUCCCACGACAUCUUGCAUGUGCGGCAGUGCAGGUGCUUUCUUCUCCCCGUACCAAAAAAAAAAAGGUGUUCCUCUUGAAAGCAUCUCGAAUGGCACGGCCUUAAUAACUCCAAAGCGCGGUGGCAAAUGUUUGAAACGGUAAUUGACGCGAUGCCACGUAUCUUUAAUCAUUCACGUGAAUACCCAAACACAUGGAAUGCAAAUUAGCCUAUGCUUUUCUUGGGUAAUGGUAAAUGCGGCGAUAAGCCAGAAAAAAAAUUCUUAGCAGCGUAAUUAGUCCUGACACUAAGGUUGGUUACUUUGUGGAGCUACAAAAUGUCGACUGACAAGGUGAUCUGUAGCCUGUUCGCUUCAGCUUAUAAGCUGGUUGAAAAGUUGAAACAACUGAUUUAUUGUGAGAGGAAAACACUGUUUGGUGGUUGAAUAAACUGAUUAGCAUCUAGGAUAAUGGUGCUUGAAGUAUCAUGCACCUGGUUAACACAGUUCGAGUUCGCCUGUGUCACUGUCUAAACCAAAAUGUCCACGGAAUAAUGGCCCGUUCAGGUAGCCUUCACAUCCAGGGGCACACAUCAUUAUUGUGGACGCGAUCCACAUGCUCUACCUAAACAAAUCGGAUCCGUAUCGGCAUCGUCUAUGAUUAGUUCCAAGCCAUGCAAGUUGUUCUAGAGUACCUUUCAGCAUAUCUGUUGUUCAGAUUAUGAGACCUGUACGCAGGAGAAAAAAAUUCCGAGGCAGCAUUUCACGUACGCAUUGUCUUACAUUGACAGGAUCAAAUGCAGAGUCAAAGUGGAAAAACACAUGAGAAAGUUUUGGUUGUCCAUUUUAUAAUAUGCCUAAUUUUGCCAGGAAAGAUUCGGUUAGGAGUGAAAAAGAAACAGGAUCCGACAAGUCUUGCAAUGAUGGCUGAAAUAUGUCUUGCCUUGCGAAUACAAUAUCAAAUACGGUGCACAAGAAAUAAAAAUACCUGAACGAGAUCAAAUCCAAUAUCAAAUACGUCCCUAAUCUAGAAAAUAGUCUAUGAGUAUUUCACUAAUAAUAGAUAAAAAUAUCUAUUGUUUUGUAAAGCCAAUGUCAAAUAUGGAUUAAUAGGGCAACCUUCACGUCAAGUUUCUUAGUACUAGCUAAAGCAUGCCCUGAUGAGUUUUUGCGCAUAGCUAAAAUACGUGUUCCUUUGCUAAACCAAAAUCAGAUGUGGGGAAAAAAAAAUCUUGGCCGAGUUUUGAGGCAGUAGCUAAAGUAUGCCUUCCUUUGCAAAUUGGAUUGACACGAUGAAAAGGAAAAAAGAAAAGUUCCGGCGGGUUUUUGAGCCAUGGUUAAAUAUGUGUUGCUUUACGGAGUCAACAUCAAAUAAAGAAAAAAACCUCCAUAAGUCUUUAGGAAGUAGUUAAAAUAUGUGUUAUUUGUGAAGUUAAUAUCAAAUACCGAUAUACAGCGGUAGCUAAAACAUGCCAUGUUUUUUCGACGACAAUGCUAAAAUAGACGACAAUGCUAAAAUAGACGACAAUGCUAAAAUACAGGAUGUUGUGAAAUUCCUUCUCAAUUAACCUUAUCUACAGUAUUAUGGUACACAUGUGUAUAUAUGGGUGCAAGCCAGAGCAGAAGAUAACCAUCAAGAUCACCAAGCUCCACAUAUAGUCAUAUACAGAGAAAGUGGUUGCAGGGGAUCCUGGAUGCCGUUUUGCCCGAGGGCCGGUCUUCGGGGUCUUCAGUCUUCGCUCUCCACCGCGGUGAAAAACCGGAGUCCAAAAGAGAAAAGCCAGUUCACAGGAAAGCAACAAAAUCCACGUUGUUUUCUCCCGGCGCUUGUCUUGUUCCAUUGGAGCAAAACGGUGAUGCUACCACUCCAGCACCAGUAGACCGCCACAAUUAUACAUUUUCCACUUAUAUAAGACCACCACUAGUCUUUAUCCUUUGCCUCCACUUGAUCCCUCCAUCUCUCCAUUCCCCUCCAUCAAAAGAAUUUCCAUUUCUUCCGUGGGAUUUCUGCGAUUUCUUUUUCUCACUCGGUUUCUUGUGGGGCUGGCCGCGAGGUUGCGAGGCCAAGCAGCGCAGCAAAAGUUGCGAUCUUUAUCGGCUGGAUUCCUCUCCUCCCUUUCUCUCUCAUCCUCCGCUUCCUUUGUGCUUCGUUGUUGAGAGUUGAGACCCACUUGCCUUUCUUCUCUCUCUCAUCCCCCUUCCAACUCCUCCUGGUCCCUGGAAAAAAGGAGAUCUUUUGGUGCAAGAUUCGAUCUGCUGUUGCCGCCUUGCUGCACAGAGAUUUGCUCCUUUCUUGGCCGGUUUCGCUCGGUGGUUUCUUGGAGUGGCAGGGCUUUCUGGUGUGGGCAGUUGCAGUUCUUGAUCCAGGCUCAGAUUGCAGGCGGUGGAUGAUUGCUCUGAGGGCGAGGUUGCUGCGGUCAGGUGAUUCCUUGGUCGCUUGUGGUGGCGGUGGCCUCGUUUGAUCCGUUUCUUCGGGAGAUUUUGGUUGAUGUGUUGGGUUUCCUGGGAGCUCAGUUCCCCAAUUCGCCAUUUUGAUGAGGAGUUCUUCCUACUGUGAGAGCAACUGCGCUCCUCCCCUGUGCUACCUGCCCUGCCUCCCCAAAUCCAAAGACGAUGCAGGGGGUGAUCUGGCAUCCGGGUCUCCAAGCCCGGCCGCUGUCACCGAGGACAAGCCGCCCGUGGUCCAGAAGAUUGAGGAAGCCGCGGCGGCGCCCGGCGGCGAUGAUGAUGAUGAGAAAGGCUGUAAGGAGGUGGCGGUGGCUUCCAAGAGCUGCUUGAAGAGAGCUGAUUGUGCGGACAGCAGUAAGAAUGUGGUGAAAGGCAAUGUGAAGUGGAAGGAUUUGUUGGGGAAGGAUCUCACACAAGUCAAAGAAUUCGAGCCAAGGUACGUGCGGUGUUCUUGCCAUGUUUCCUUUCUAGUAUUAUCUAGUUGAAAUUGCGGGUGAAUUUGGUAAUAUUGUAGAGUCAAAUUUGGAGAAUGUUUGCCAUGUGAUGUGUGUUGUUCACCAUUUUAGGUAGACGUCAAUUCUGCUAGUGGGCAUGUGGCAUGCCCCUGAUCUCUAGAGGAAUGUUCUGGUUUUAGGUCUCCGCGACGCCCAUUUGCUUUAAGCCAUGGUCACUUGCAGUUGUGCCUUGUGCUGACAUUGGGAAAACACUAUCUAAUGGCCAAGUCAACGGUUUGUCUUAUGCCUCAUGUCCCUUGGUAAUGGUGGCCAUCUUUUGCUGUUCCUAGGUGGUGGGUUAAUUAGAUAAGGUUGGGCCAAGUCAUUGUGUAGCAAUUCUACUAUAUUUGGUUUUGACCUUGGUUUGAGUGUGCAAGUACAUCUGUGGAUGCAUUGAGCUUGCUUCCAUAUGGUCGCUACCUGAUCAUUAAUUAGAAUGAGUUAGUUGUUGCGAAACCCAGUUUCUUGUGUCUGGGUGAAGCUAUAGACCAAACCAUCCUUCCCCUUUCUGGUUGGAUGGCUGCCCAGGAGUCCUAACUGCCAUCCGCCUUUUGUUCAGUGCGCCCAACGGUUUUCUUCAAUGCAUCAAGGAAGCGUUAUGAAGCAGUUUAGUUUUGUCGCUAUCUAGGUUUAGGCCAGUCCACCUAAGGAAAUUGGGGCUUUUUUUCAUCAUGCUUGCUGACUUUGCUUAAGAUAACCUGCUAGUCACUUCGAGCUUGUCUUGUGAUGGUUAUAUGCAAACUGAUUUUUUUUCAGCUUGAUAUGUUCUUUUGAAACUGCAAAUAUACUCAUGGACGAGUCAUAGAUUUAAGUUGUUAAGUGGAUGAUGUUUGAAAUAGGGGUCAAGUCCAUCCAUCUGUGAAAUGUUUGUGGUGUGCUUCUCAAGUCACCAAUAGUAUUUGGUGUGUUCAGCAGGCUAGUUAUUUUCAGAGCUUGCAACGAAAUCAGAUUUACCCACUUGCCAGCAGUUCAUCUUUUCAUAUAAAAUAAGCCCAGGCCCUUUUUUUGGCUUGUUUUAUUGUUUCCAUGUUAACAUUAAAAGGGAUAUCGCGUUGAAGGUUUCGUCAAUAAAUCUUACUCAAUAUGACCUUGUAAUAAUCCUUUUCAGAAACAAAUAAAAUACCUACUUACAGACCAAUGAGUGUUUCAGUCAAGUCAGCGCAUAAUUUUUAAGAAAUGAAAUCACAAUCAGGGCAAUUGGACUUUCAUUUUCAGAGGGUCUCUUUACUACAGGUUGCUUCCUGUUGCUAUAUAAGACUGUAUCAUGAUUGGAUAGGUUGAAUUUGGAUUAGGUUUGUCACAGCCCCAUCUCUCAUUAAACCUAGUAAUGGUGCAUUGACACGGUAUUACUAACAUCAUUGUCAUUCCUGCUGGUGAUGGGAAUAUACAUUUGGAUAUAGUUGUGCGUCCUUGUGUUAAUUUCCAUCGUUUUCAGUUGCGUGUUCGUUUCAAGUUUUUCCACACUAGGGGCGGAGAAAAUCUAGCUUUUCAGUUGCGUGUUCGUUUCAAGUUUUUCCACACUAGGGGCGGAGGAAAUCUAGCUUCGAUGCUUACACAAUCCUUGACUGCUCAACAUCUUACUGUCAGAAUUAAAAGAUACGUACAUAUCCACCCUUGAUGCUUACAUGCUAUUUUCUUCCAUGCAGCGAAUCCGGAGACUCGGAUGAUGAUGAAGACACCGGCGCCUGCACCUGUGUCAUCCAAUGAGGCCAGGGGUCUCCACUGUAAAUUCUGUGAAGAAAAAACAAAAAGCAAAAACAGAAGAGGAUUGUCUGAGUCAGCCAUUAGUCAUUGUCUGUAGAGGCUAGACCGCUAGAGAGCAGCAGGUCCAUCCAUUGUUGUGCGUGUGGAUAUUUGGAUGCCAUGGCUUGUGUUGUGUUUCAUCAGCAGCUUCAACUGUAAAAUGUUGUUACAGAUGCAUAGCUUUAGAAGAUUUCUGCCAAAUGUGCCAUAUUCUCCUGCCUGAAUUUUGCUCUGCUUGCUGUGGCUGAGACAUUCUGAUUGGCUGGUACAUCUGUCUGUCAAUGGGCCUGGCUGGACUUGACCUGAUCCAAUCUGAUGAUUCUAACCGGGCUGGACUGGGCUGUCCAUUUGGGGACAAUGUGUUAUUCUCUUCAUUUUUAUACACUUCUUCAUUUGACACUAUGGUCACUAGUGGGCCCGUCCGAGCACGGACACGCAGAGUGAAGAGGACUGUGAGCAAUAGGCCCAGUGAUCAGAGAGGAAAUACAGACAGGCCUAUGCUCAUUUCAGUUCCCAGGCCCAGCCCAACAAACCAAGCGACAGAGAGAGCGUGAGUGUGUGGGCCCACUGUGUCAGAGAGAGAAAACACCGAGGCAGGUGUUGCCGCGUCGUUGCGCUGCGCCACCCAAAUCUCGCUUCCAACUUCUCCGGCACGGUGCUCCGCAGUCUCCGCCAGCCCGCUGCGACCUCAGCCCGCCUCCUCCCCACACCGGAGACCGCGCCGCGGCCAGCGGGCUAAGGUAGCGCGGGGAUGGCCUCCGGAGGCUCGGCCGGACGCGACCCGUACGACGAGGAGGCCGCCGGCCGCCGCCCCCUCGAGCUGGACGGCCGUGACGCCGCCGCCGCCUCGUCCUCCGACCACCGGCCUGGUGAGCUCGAGUUUGUCUCUUCUCCGGGGGCGUAGCCAUCUGGUGGCUGCGGGAUCUGGUGCGGGGUUGCGGUUUUGGGUUCCGGAAUCGGGAGAAUUUCAGCGUGUCGUCGGAUUUCGUGUGGUGGAACAGGAGAUCGAGUUGAAUUGUGGGGAGGAGAGCGUGCUCGGUUGAGGUAGCGUGUUCUGACUUCGAGCUGCUAGAGUUGUGCGUGUGUGAUCGUCGGUUGGCGCAAUGCAGCUGCCGUGGGCAGCUGCAAUUUGGUAAAUUAGAGCCGGGUCUGGGUGAGUGAUGCAUUACAUGGCGUAAUAAUGUGUAACUGUAACAAGGUGCAUAUUGAAGAUAUGCUGGGAGGUGAAGGCCAGGUCGCGGUUGAUAUGCUUGACCACAGAAUCUAGGCUUCUAAGCAAGCUUGUUGUAGGAUGUUUCUGUUAUGCCUUCAAAAUUCAGGCCAUGAUGCAUUGCUUAAAUGGUUGGCAGUAUGUGUUUUGUUUGCCUCUGCAUCACGAUCAUCUCAAAUGCUCAUUCCUGCCGUGCUAUCUAUUGUAGGGAAUGCCAUGCCUAGAUAUCAAGUGGGCUCCACGAAGGAUGAUACGAGUAGUAGAUAUGCUGAGGGGUCACAGCAACCCAGUACAGAUGAUGUGCGCAAGAGCAAGUCUGGGUCGAGAUACUAUACAGCAUUUGGGGUGGAUCUGUCCCCAGAUAAUAUGGCAGUUGCCAUUGUAUAUUUUGUGCAAGGGGUUUUAGGUCUUGCACGGCUUGCUGUGAGCUUUUAUUUGAAAGAUGAUCUUCAUCUCAAUCCAGCUGAGGCAUGUGUUGCUCAUUCCUUUUCCCAUCCUCCAUAUAGCAUCUUUAUGUUCUUCAUGGUAGAUUUAGAGUUCAUUCCUUUUCCAUGAUGUAAUAUUUUCUUCUUAAUUAAUAGAUAUUGCUAAGUACUAAAAUAGUUCGUUUAUAUAGACUGCAGUUGUAUCUGGUUUCUCAUCCUUGCCAUGGUUGAUCAAGCCCCUCUAUGGCUUUAUCAGGUUUCCCAAAAACCUCCCACAUCCAUCUCUUUCUCAUUUAUGUGUACUAUUGAUUUUGAAUCCUCUGCUCUCGCCUUUCAGUGAUUCCAUUCCACUCUUUGGAUAUCGAAGAAGGUCAUACCUUUUUCUGUCAGGGUUACUUGGAGCACUUUCAUGGAGUUUGAUGGCCACAGUAGUGAGCAGUAAAUACAGUGCUGCAUCCUCUAUUCUUCUUGGGUCACUUUCUGUUGCCUUUUCGGAUGUUGUAAGUGCAAAAUGAAUAUUCUACCCACAAGUUAUCUUGGCCUGCCCUUUAUAAUCGAUCAAUAAUAUUAAGUCCUGUGUAUUUCAUUGAUUCAGUUGUUUCUUGAUACUUUCAUUUUUUUUCCUUUUCAACAGUCAUAUUCCAUGCUAGUAAUUUCUUAUCUGAUAUGCCACUAAAUUUACUAUUUGAAUGAGAAAAAUUGGUUUCCUUCUAUAUUUGGCUCUGUACUCUGUUAUACAGUGGAACUGUGAUCAUUGUUGGGAGUUGGAACAAUUUUUAUCCCUUUGUUGGCAUACUUUACUUUCCAUAGAGAAAAGGGCUCAGUGCAAAUUUGCAUUGAGUUAUCUCAAUUUAACUUAACAGAUUAAUAAAGGCUUGAGAACAGCUUUAAGUGGUCUAGCAUUAAAAAAGUUAUUGAGAGCACCUACAAAGGAGCUAAUACCCCUCAAACAAGCUGAAGCACUUAUGUAAAGAAAAUUUUCAUUGAUUUGCUUUCUAGCAGGAUUCAUUUAAAUCCCUACUGAAUACACCAACUCGACCAACUGUUUAGGAAUAGAUUCCUGCUGGUUCUUUCCUUCUCUUGAUUCCAAAAAUUUUUAUGCAGACCUUAUCUUCUUUCAUGAUGCAGCUUACAAUGCAUCCUUCUAGCUAUUGACACAAUCCAAUCAUAUAUUUUGUAAAGUUUAAGCAUAUCAAUGUACAGCGCAACCAAAGAAUAAAUGGUUACUAUCCUCAAAAGUCAAAACUAUAAAUAAGAUACAAGCUCUCAUUUAAUACUCAUUAGUAGAACAAUUUUCCUUGGAUCGUUAGAAGGUCGAAGCAUAUCGGCUAAUUUUGGAAUUAGCUUGGAUUGUUUUAUUUAAUUUUCUUCAAAAGUUACCGCAUACAAUUUCCAGUUCUAGGCUUUUGUUCUAGCUAGCUUUCUAAUUUGCAUGCUAAUGCACCAUUCUGGCAACCUAACAGGCUAACACUGCUCUUUCCCAUCAAGAAAAUGUUGGAUAAUCCCAACAUAAUCAUAUUUCAGUGGAAGUUUUACACUGUAAGGCUAACCAUUUAAACUUAUUUUACAAUGCCAUUGAAACUAAUCAAUUCAUUGCGGGUCUGUGUAGCCCUAAUAUUAAUGCUGUUCUUACCAAGUUUGCCAGUGUGAUUAUUAUUUUUAUCCAAAUGAAUCUUUUGUAUAAAAAAAGAUCAUAUCAUUUUCACUGCACGGUAGGACUGGGGAAUAAGAAAAUUGCAAGUAUUUUGCUUCAAGGUUUUGUUUCAUAACACGUCUGGGAACACUGUAGGUAGUGGACUCUAUGGUUGUUGAAAGAGCCCGUGGAGAAUCUCAAAGUACAUCUGGAUCUCUCCAGUCUCUCUGUUGGGGAUCUUCUGCCUUUGGAGGAAUUGUGAGUGCCUACUUCAGCGGUUCACUUGUGGAUACUUACGGAGUAAGGUUUGUCUGAUAGUACCACUUAAGCUGACUCACACCCUAUUAUUUUGUAGCUCAGUCUACUGAUGAAAAUAUUCCUCUAAACGCAGAUUUGUCUUUGGUGUUACAGCAUUUUUACCCCUGAUGACAUCUGCUGUUGCAGUUCUUGUAAAUGAACAUCGCAUGCCUUUCGGAGAACGUACUAUCUUACUCUCUGGUUCAGGAUUUGUUGAGAGCUCUAAGCAGCACGUCAGACAGCUUUGGACUUCAGUAAAGCAACCUAGCAUUUUCUUGCCAACCUUGUUUAUAUUCCUUUGGCAAGCAACACCGCAGUCAGAUUCUGCUAUGUUUUUCUUCAUGUAUGUAUGAGAAAGUCUUUACGGUAUUAAUAUGUGAUGGAUCUGUCCUGUACAUGCCUUAUUACUUUUUUACUGUUGCAUUGUGGUUAGUUGUAAUCCAACAACUAAAACUUUCAUGGAUUGGAAGAAAGGUCUUAAUUCAUGCAGAUUAUUGGACGCUUCCUCUAGGUCGUCUUUAUUUGGAGUGAUUUCGCUACCAUAGGCUGUAACGGCACACACACAAAAGCAAGAAAAUUACCUUGCUUCAUAAAAUACAAAGACAAAGUAUUGAUUUUGGUUAACUAAUUUGGAUCAUAAUUUAUACAUGCCAUUAAAGUGUUGCUUUUCAUUUUGUUUGGUCCCUUCUUCACUAGUUGUGUAUUAACAGUUUGAAGAUAUCUACUGAUAUGGUCUUUUUUUCCAACUUUUUUUUACUGAAUAUGAUCUCAACUCUUUUAUGCUUAUUCGCAUAUUAAAUAAUUAAACAAGUAUGUCAGAUCUUUGAUGCUUUUGGUUUGCAUUUUAAUGACCUGAAACCUAUGCCACUUUUCAUUAUGAGCUACGCUGGCCUAAUGGGAGCAUGCAGGGCGCUUGUCUGAGUCAGAACUUUUUUUCAGAUUUGUCCCAUUUUCUGGUAUGGAGUCCUUUUGUACCCUUUAUAAACACUUUAGGCACAUAUUUAAGGAUGGACUGUUGUGACAUCCUUCUUUGGAUUCUCACUUCUGUGCACUGUGGUCUUCUAACUGUUUGGGUUUUCCAUGCUAAGUCUUUGUCUUGUUUGAUUGAUCAUGUUCUUUAUUUACAUGAAUAUAUACAUGAUUAAAUGGUUUUAUCUGUGUGGUUUUUGAAACGAUCAAUUUUUUAUGUCCUGUAAUUUAUUUCAGCACAAAUAAGCUUGGAUUCACUCCAGAGUUUCUAGGACGUGUGAAGCUUGUUACCUCUAUUGCAUCCCUGCUUGGUGUUGGGAUAUACAACUAUUUUCUGAAGGAAAUUCCUCUAAGAAAAAUCUUUCUUGUGACAACCAUCAUAGGUUCAGCUCUUGGGAUGACACAGGUGCUCUUUGUGCUAUUUAUUUGAUUGGUGCUGCAAUUGGUUCUGUUCUUUAAACAUACUGCACUGUAUAUAUUUAGGUGCUUCUCGUAACUGGGCUUAAUCGGCAGUUUGGGAUCAGUGAUGAGUGGUUCUCUAUUGGUGAUUCAUUAAUCAUCACAGUCCUUAGUCAGGUAUGUAACAUUAAUGCAAUGCUUAAUAAUAGCAAAGGAUUUUACAUGAUUGGGGUGCAUUGGAAACAUAUGUUGAUCGCAUAAAAAUGCAUUCAGGUGAUCAUGUGCCUUCUUUCCUGACAUAAUGACACUGCAAACUAGUACUUUAAUAUACCCACAACUGAGUCUGACCACUGACAAGUCCAGGAUCAGCAGAUCUGGGUUGUGAACACCGGUACCUAUUCUUAGGAAAAGCAUUCUCAAAUCUCAAUAUCUCAUGUGUAAAAUCGGAGCAUCAUAUUUAUAUUGACCAUAUCUAGCUUAGAAUUGUGCUUUGAGGCCUCCUGCCUUCAGUUACUUCCUCGAAUGCAAGUUUAUGUUGCCUCAUUUUUUUGUAGGCUUCAUUUAUGCCGGUCUUGGUGUUAGCUGCAAAAUUGUGCCCUCCAGGGAUGGAAGCCACUUUAUUUGCAACUUUGAUGUCCAUUUCCAAUGCUGGAAGUGUUACUGGUGGUCUGGUUGGUGCUGGUCUAACAAAGGUUUUUGGGGUCACCAGGGACACCUUUGGGAAUUUACCUCUCUUGAUUGUGGUCUGCAAUCUUAGUUCGCUGUUGCCCUUACCUCUUUUAGGCCUCCUGCCAGAGGAAUCAGGUGACACAAAUAAUGGAGAAACAAAACAUAACUGACUUGCUAAGGGUUUUAUCUCCAUGUGUUCUGGAUCUCAAGUAUGACAUGCCACCGUGCCCAGCACCGAGUGAGAUCCAUCCCAUCCACUUGGAGUUCAGAAAACCAGUAGGGAAAUAUGAAAGUCACACUGGAUAUAAUUUCGUCUGUCACCGCUUUCAUCAGUCAGGUUAAUCUACUGUGACUAUUUACCUAUGUGAUUGAAGUGAUUCAUGAUCGUCUGAAAAUGGUCUCUGAUGCAACGGCACACAGGUAUUCGCCCCUUUUUAUAUUUUCUAGUUACCUUGUAUGCUAAGACAAGGUAGGUUUCGGUUUUCUCUACAAUCUUUGUUACUUAAUGCACCCCCAUGAAAAUUAUACCGGGGGUUGAACAUUAGUAGUUGGAUUUCCUUACAAAGUUGAAUGUAUUGUGCCGAAAAGGGGGGAAUAUUUAUACUUUAUGGAAACCUGAAGUAUGGGCAUGUAAAGAAUAAAUACUUGCACACAGUUCAACUUAUAUCAGGUUCUGCUUACAUCACUAGGCCAAACAAAGUGGAAUCACAGACAGAAGCACAUACUGAAAACUACAGGCACAACAGAUAUGCAACAUCUGUCAUCUGUAAUAACUCACUGAACUUUUCAGUGCCAAUAGUACGUGUAUCGAUGACAAUAGACGGUACGUGUAGACCUUUGAUGUUUGUAUUGAGGUUAACUUGAAAUAUGAUUUCCUUAUAAAAAAAGUUGAAAUAUGAUUUCAAAUUAUUGGUGAAUUGAAUCAGAGUUCAGUAACAAGGUAUUGUUGUAAUCAAUGUAAUGCAAAAGACGACCUGGAAAAAAAAAAGGGAUCCAGGAACCUGUGUACUUGUACCUUUUUUUCCUUCCUUUUGACUUGAGAGGGUGUGCUCCUACUCCUACAGUUGAUUUGUAUAUCCAGUAAGAUUGGAUCAGUUAAGUUAUAUCAUGAGUACACAUCAUUGUUGUUAUUCUCUUUAAAAAAUGCGACCAUUGUUGUCUAGUCCAUUGUUGAAUUUUGCUAUGAAUCAUUUAAAUUCAAAAUCUGUAGAAAUACAAGGUCUAUUCUGUACCAUUUUAAUACAUGAUAAUGGAGAGCAGCAUAAAUAACCAAUAUACUCUGAAUAUUCUGCCUCAUUUGCUCUUGGAGUCUCUUGAGACGUCAGAAUGUAAACAAUGCCACUUGGUUGCAGUAGACAUCAUCUCCAAGACUCCAAGAGCAAUGCAUUCAGGUUUCAGUCAACAUCAUCUCCACAUCAUGUUCUUGCAUCAGUGCAUCACAUCAGUUUAUCACGUGGAUUUUAUAUUCACAAUGGGGUCCAUGUAGGCUUAUGCUUCGUGUCAGCAUUACAGCCUAUGUUUCCAUAGUUUAAGUGCUCGUCUAAUCAGCAUGGUUGGAUUAUUCUGCCACAUGAAGUAUCCUGACUGACCUCUACUUCCAUUGCAAUUGUGGGGUCAACUCUGAACUGCAUCGUUGUUUUUUUUUCCUUCACCUGACAAAAAUGGCUGGAGAUUGUGUUCCGAUCCGAUUCCUGGCAUCAGAUCCAGCCUUUCUGGCCAUCACCUGUUUUUCUUUUUUAUAUAUUAUGUUCUUUUUCUUUUUCUUUCAAACCAUUUUUUCUAAGCAUGUGCAUCUUGAGACGCUUCAUAUGAUUGUUGAAGCUAAACUCACAUCAUGAACAAAACUAUGAACCUGAGUACAAAUUGUAGUGCUACAGGUGGUACUUGUUUGUAUGGAUGUCGCCAUGCAAGUCCUGACGGCGACAAGUGGCGAGUCAAGCUGUUCCCUUUAGUUGUUAUGCAUUUUUUUAAAAAAAAUUAUGAAUAUGAUUGUUAUUACCUUGUUUCGUACGAAAGUAUUUUAAGCCAUGUGUUCACAAGUUUUGGUAUAAGUAGUUAUUCACUUACAGCCACAAGUAGCUAGUAAUAACUUGCAAGAAACUGUGAUUUUGGUUACUUUCCUUUGAUCUGGCCUGAGUUUUACACAUGGAUUCAUGACUUUGGCAAGAUUUUACUUGCUACACUAGCCCAGAUGUAUUUAAAACACUAAGAUUUUUCGCAAGAAAUAAGUUGAGUCCUAUAGAGUUUAAGACAAGUCACCUAUUUGCUGAAUGAGUACCUGCAAUGUACUCCCAUUGUCCCACAAAGAUUGCAAUUAUAGUUCAAAAUUCGUUCUUGUGUUCAGACCAUGGUUGUGAUUUGUGUCCAGUAGUCGGUUUGGGACAAUGGCAUUCCGACGAUACGUUUUCCCCUCUCUAUUGGAGUGAUUGGUAGUCCUAGCUCGUGAAAAGUGUAAAAAGGAAAAGAAAAAAGGAAAUAAAAACAUGGUAACUAACAUGGGUGGGCCGGUCUCUAGCAUGCGGGGUCCGCGUUGUGGUGGCCCCCGCCACAUGGGGAAUGUGACGUGUACGGCCCUGCGUGGACGAUGGCUGUGCGAAUGGAGCACACGUCACGUCGUAACGUGUGCGCUUUCUUUCUUAUCCUACGAUCCUAUCCCCUCUAGGCACCACCACCCUUUGUUUGUUCUACGAUUUUUUUCCUCUCAUCUUUCCUUUUUUUUUCAUCUUGCGCGAUAUUUUUCACGUUUCCAACUCGACGAGAUUUGAGGCCAGGCUUGUUAGGAUCUCUUGGUUGGAAAUAAAUGUAAUGCUUAUAUGAAGAAAAUAUUUUUUCCAACUUCAAUGAUUUUCUAUGAUGAUGUUUUAUUAGCAAAACUUAUACAGGUGACUUCAAUCAUUGUUUGUCUAAAUGGUAGUUUGCAUGUUUAAACUCUUAAACUUUUCAAAAAAAAAAACUCUUCUUGUUCGCCAUACUAUCAUUCUAAAUUUUUUUUUGAGAGGUAUUAUCAUUCUAAAUAGGCGCAGCCAUUUAAUCCGAACAAUGUUUGAUCUGAUACUCAGCUUAAUAAUAGUCCAAACAAGCAAUACACUUUAUAUGAUCGAUCCAAGUAGUGUGGAUGAACCCUAUCACCCUAAUUCUCUAGAGUUUGUAGUAGAAGUUAUAAUUGCGAGCUGUAGUGAUGUGUAUUUUGCGAUGGCAAUAAUUCAGUUACGAGGUAUUUCAAUUUCCCUAAUCACGGAUUCCACUCCUAUUUUUACGAAGAGAGCCCAAACCAAAAUCAACGGUCACCACCUCCUAUUUCUCCUUCCCCUCCCUCCCCUCCCCCCUCCUACGAUUCCCCAACGCUGAAGCGCGGAGGCUGCUCCACACCCUCACCGCUCGCGCGAAUUCCGAGGCGCCGCUCCGAUCCGCCCUCCCCACCGCGACCGCGCGUCUCCCUAGGGUUAGGGCUCCGCUCCCUCGCACUCGCCCUCGCCCUCGUACUCUCCUCCUCCCGACGCGGCCCCCCGCGCGCGCGCGCCACGCCAUGAGGGUCCACCCGGCCCCGCGGAAGCGGACCAUCGCCGUGCAGCGCUGCGCGUCCGCGGCCGCGGCGGCGGGGGCCGCGCUGGGAGGCAAGAAGCUGCGCCGCCUGCCGCACAUCUUCGCCAAGGUGCUGGAGCUCCCGUUCGCGGCCGACGCGGACGUCUCCGUCGAGGAGGACGCGGCGGCGCUGCGGUUCGUCGCCGCGGCGGUCGACGGGUUCUCCCCCGCGGGCGCCCGCGCGCACGCCGUCGAGAUCCACCCGGGGGUCACCAAGGUCGUCGUCCGGGACCUCUCCUCCGGCGGCACCCACGGCGACGACGACGGGGCCGCGGCGUUCGAGCUCGACCGGUGGCGAUUCCGCCUCCCGCCCUGCACGCUCCCCGCCAUGGCCACCGCCACCUACGCCGAGGGCGAGCUCGUCGUCACCGUCCCCAAGGGCGCCGGACCCGAUGACGGCGACGGCGACGGCGCCACUGUCCUUGGAGGCACGGAGAGCGUCCUUGUGCUUGUAUAGUAUAUUUAUGCCAUGACCCGACUGUUUUGCUGAUUCGCCUGUUUCUACUUUCUACUACUAAUAUCAAUAUUUAUAUCAUGCGAGAUGAUGGUGAUAAUAUGCUAAUAACAGAGUCAUAAGAGUAUGAACGAUGGAUGCAAAUCGCCGUUUUCUGUGAAUUCUCUGAUCUGCUCGUUCAACUGUUGGUGAUCUUGUGUCAGUUCUUGCAAACCAUUUGUGAUGUAUAUAACUAUACCUUUUUAGUUGUUUAGUUGAGUAAAGGUUCAGCAUGAAUUAGCAUCCAGGCAUUUGUUGCAGUUUGAUUAGCUUAGCAAAACUGAAGGAUCAAAUGAUUCGGGUUAGAAAUUGGGAAGUCUGUUAAUCAGGUUGGUCAGGAAUUGGGAAAUUGCUUGAAGAGUUGCUCUGUAUCUAGUGAUGUUUUGUAGUAGGUUAGCAGUUCUGAAGACUGCAAGACUAAGAGUUGACUCUAUAUUCACUUGAUGCUGGAGUGUUUUGAGCAAAAUUUCCAAUCUCAUGGCAUCUGAGAUGUAUAGGUGAUUUUAAUGUGUCCAGUCUACAGUCGUAGUUGUCUGGCUACUUGGCUAGCUUUGUUGCGUGUGUGCAUUUCCUGUGCUGAACUGAUGGAAAUGAUUGUGUCGUGAUUUGGAGGUUAAGAUGUCAUGGUUUGGGUCAAUCAACUAUUCAUUUUCUUAUCAGUUUGUCUAUAAGUAAUCCAGGCGCAUGGGUCAUAAUCUUCUGGUGUAUUUUUAAACCCCUAGAGGUUUCGGAUUGGUGAUGCCUGUCGAUCAAUCACCAAUCCAUUUUAAGGAGAUAUCUAUUUUGUUCUACAUGCAGUCAUGCAUCAUAACAGAAAUUCAUCAUGUGUCCUCAAAAACUUGUAAUAAUUGCAUCUUAAAGCAAUAGAGCGUAUCCAAUAGACUAUUGAGCAUAUAUUGGCCUAGAUUUCCUUGUCUACUUUAUCCUAGUUUUGUUCUGAUGUAUUCGCUCCCUUUUAUCGCAUCUUUUGCUUUCAGAAGAUGCUCGGCUUGCUUGUCAAACUAGCUUACUUCUAACUGGGUCUUAACCCCACCUGAAUUCCUUUAAUUUUUAUUGAUCGGGUGAUUCGCUUUAAUCAAUCCUCUUGUAAAAUUGCUGGACUUUCUGGUGCUCCAAAUAUAUCUAACCACUUAGAGAAACACCUUUCUUGAGUUUCUUUUUGUGAUCUUUUUCUCCUGUGGGGUGUGUUUGUUCGAGGAUGAGUGUGAUCUUCGCCUGUUACGUGUUGCCAAUUUUGUUCUCUGAACCAGUUGACGCUGUUUUUCCCCUGUUUCUUUCGCACAACUGUUCAUCAUGCUUCUGUACCCUUUUGCCAUGCUCUUACCUUGUUGACCCAGUACAGCAUCCAAGCAUUUGCAAAGAUGUUAAAUGUUGGCUCUCUCUCUGUUUCCGUAGACACUUGGAAAUUUCACUCUAUUUUCUGUAACUUUUGGAGUGAAGUGGAAGCAACGAAAAUUUCAGAAAAACACCCUGCAUCUUUACGCCGUCUGUUCGAGCAACUUUGCCACGGAACGAGGAGAUAUUUUCCAGUGGCGUUGCGAGACUGCAAGGCAAAGAGUGUACCAUGUCAUUUCCUGGGAAGAGUGUUGGAGUUUUGAGAAUCUCGAUUUUACCAGGACCAGAUUGCUUGAUUUUUACAGGGAUUAAAAGUCCAGGCGUCUCGCAUCCGGCAGGAGCAGAUUUUUUUUCUUCUUCUUUUCACCGCGGACGUGAUGUAAAGACCGAGAAUGAUGGCUUCAUGUUGUGGCGUUGCUUUUGAGUUCGUAUUGUUAUCAUUCUGACGGUAUGAGCAGAGCGCAUUGUCUGCCAACUCAACAGAGCAAGGCUGGGGAACACGAAGCAACGGGUGCACAACGAUUGGCGAUCCCAGGAAGCAUGUGUGUGUUGGGGGGUGGUGAUGAGGUGCUAAAGCAUCUUUGCCUUCCUAUUGCUAUGAACAAGGUCAUGUCAAUCAACAAAAAUUGUAACCAUAACUAUGCUUAUGUGCCAGAAAAGAAUAGAGAUGCCCAUAUUUUGUAAAUAUAUAUGCAGCACCAUCAGAUCAAGAUGAUCAUCAACGGCAAAGCAGUCUAGUCAUCUGAAACACUGAAAUGCUCUUUUUUUUUUUUUUGCUUCGAGACCAGCGCAGAGGUGAUUGGGGAGAAGGUAAAGAGCAAAAUGACCAUCAGCAGCAAAGCAGUCUCCAAGUCUCACAACAUCUUGGCAAAUUUGACAAGCACAAGUGCAUAACUAUGUUUAUGAACAAAACAAGAAUUGCAUAGAUGUCGCCAUAGCUCCUAGCAAUAAAAGGCCAGCAAAAGCAAAAUGGAAUCAUCGAAUGAAAUGAAAUGCUAUCAGCAAAGGCAUUGAGAUACGCGAAGAACAUGCGUGCAUUAUGCAUCUGCUAGCCUGCCUGCUCUUGGCACUACACUGGUACCAAAUUGGACAGGCAGAGGCCAUGUGAUGUUCCUUGUAUCGAUAUCUCCAUAAAAAAGAAGGCAACAGCUAAAAUUUUUGCUGUCUAAUUACUAUCGAUGAACUCUUUUAUUUUGCAGUACUACUGUCCAUAUGCCUUCCUUGUUAGCAUUUUUUUGUUACAAGUUUCAAUCAGAAUUGUUGACACGAGCGUGAUGUUCCCUUUGAUCAACUACUCUACCAGCAACUGUUGCCGGCGGUUCCUUCUUGCUGCGACUUGAUGCAAGUGUCCGGCACAAGGAUAUCGAACCCGCUGAGCGUCCACUCGGCCUCGGCGUUCUCGCUGACGUAUAUCUCCGUGCCCACGUCGAGCGACGUCCACCGCCUCCUGGCCGCCGGCGUGCCCGGGUCCUGGUAGAAGUAGAGCGCCUGGGACAGGGCGCCGACGUCGAGCUCCCAGGCCCUGGGGUCGCCGACCCAGCCCUGCCCCUUGGCCGUGGGGUAGCCGAACUCGCCCCACACCGGGUGCGGCAGGAGCUGCAGGAUCUCCUGCGGCUGCGGGUUGCUGUAGGCGUCGCAGUAGGUGGUGGGCUGCUCGGCGCGCCGCGCGUUCCCGGGGGAGCAGUAGACGUGGUACGCGCCGUAGGGGAAGCGGGCGGCGUCGGUGCGGUGCACGCGGGUGCCGUUCCGGAAGGUGUGCCACGGCGGGCACUGGUCGAUCCUCGACGGCCGGCACCACGCCGGCGUCUCCGGGUUGAUGAUCAUCUCGCUGUACCGCGUCACGUCCGUCGCGGCGUCGCCGUCGCACGGCCGGCCGUCGUUCUUCCAGCAGCUGCCCAUGUCCAUCAGGUAGAACUGGCUGUUGGGACCGCCGCCCUGCUUCACCUCCAGCGUCACGCGCACCUUGAAGUCCGGCGAUUCCGGCACCUGUUUGGUCAUGCCCCUGGUGUCGUAGUGGUAGCCGCCGGAGAAUCCCCUGGUGGCGUCGGAGCGCAGGUACAGCAUCAGCCACGGGUACUCGUUUGACGUCCGCAGCUUGUGGUGGAACGCCCACCCGCCGGCGCCGGCGCUCGCCGCCACCUCCUUCUCCCACGUGACGGAGUAGUAGGACACGUCGCCGCUGCCGGGAUCCGCGGCGUCCAGCUCGUAGGUGCCGAAGAGACCGCCGCGCAGCCACCGGCCGGCGUCGUCGAGCGCGGUGCGGUUAUGGAACACCAGCGGCUGGUUCAUGCACCGGCCGGCGCCCCCCGGGCAGGGGAACCGGGAAGUCUGCGGGAACGGGCGUGCCCGGCGGCCGUUCUCCGGGCAGAUGGCCGCGGUGGUGUCGAGGUUGCCGUUCUUGAGCAUGACCAUCCAGAACUGCCACGGCGCGGGGUUGUCAGGCACCUGGCACAGGCCACCGAGGUAGAGCUCCUUGGCCGCCGCGUAGCGGUCGACGUCGGUGACGGUCGCGUUCGCCGGCGCCCCCGGGAACGGGUUGCCCGCGCGGAGGUCGUUGUCGGCGUCGGUCACCCGGUGCACCACCUCGUACACCGGCUGGCCGUGCUCGCCAGCGCUAGUCUCUGCAAAGAUUUAGCUAGCCUUGCUGAAUAAUCGAAAUUCGAAUCUUGGAAAACCGCGGCGUGUGGAACUGGAAGAAUGGAAGGGCAGGAGAAGAUGAGAGAGAGCAUCAACCGAGAUCGAAGCAGUCGGCGCCGCGGGGGCUGCCCAUGCCGGGGGCCUCCUGGCCGACCUCGUUGCAGAAGUUCCAGGCCUCCCAGGCCACGCGGAGGCCGUCGCGCCGCAUGCCGGGGUCCCCGACCGCGGAGACAUAGCCGCCGCCGCCGCCGCCGUGCGUCCUGAUGGCCCGUACUGCCUCGCAGAACGAGAGAACGGCGAUGAGGAGGGAGGCCGGCCACACGGCCAUUUUGGGGGAAAGGUGCUGAUGCGGAAGGCCGAGCUGAACUCCACCAAACUGUGGCGAGGAUGCCGAGGCCCCACAGCCGCGAGAGGGGCCAAAGCCACGGAGGCGGCUAGAAUGGAGCGUAGCAGCGCAGGGGCGGCGGGGCAGGGCUGUCGGCUGUCGCGACGAGCGGCGGCGGAGGCGGGGCUGGAGAAGAGCGGAUGCUGCGCGGAUAAGGCCGAGAACAAAGCUGAUGGUAUGAGCAGAAAACUCAACAGAGCAAGGCUGGGGAAGCACGACGCAACGCGUGCAGAAAGUUGGUGAUUCCAGGAAGCAUUGGUGUUGGGGGGGUGAUGAGGUGCUAAAGCAUCUUUGCCUUCCUGUUGCUAUGAACAAAAUCACGCCAAUCAAAUAAAAACCCAGGCAAAUUUUGUAAGCAUAACCAUGCUUAUGUGCCAAAAAGAAAAGGAGAUGGCCAUAUUUUGUAAAUAUGCAGCACCAUCAGAUCAAGAUGCUCAUCAACGGCAAAGCAGUCUCGUCAUCUGAAGCAACAGGGAUGAGCAUCUAAUAGUAGUUCUUGACAAGCAGCUUUGUCACAUUUGACAUAGUGCUGCUGAUGGUCAACGGCAGCAGCGCAGCAGUCUGAGUCGCACAACGUUCUUGACAAAUUUGACAAGCAUAACUAUGUUUAUAUGAACAAAAUAAGGUUGUAUAGAUGUCGCCAUUAGCUCCUAGCAAAAAAGAAAAGGCCAGCAAAAGCAAAAUGGAAUCAUCAAAUGAGAUGAAAUGCUAUCAGCAAAGGCAUUGAUGCGCGAAGAACAUGCGUGCAUUAUGCAACUGCUAGCCUGCCUGCUCUUUGCACUACACUGGUACCAAAUUGGACAGGCAGAGCCAUGUGACCGCCACACCCCACUCAUAGUGACCUACAAGACCAUCAUCACCUUCAGUUCACCCACCAUCCCCCCUCCAAACCAACUCCAGCUGACCACAACAGUUGGAACAUAAGACAAACAAGUAAUAAACGUGCUCAACAGACUCAAACCAAAACUCAAGUGAUGUCCACAGACCAUAAUGAUCACACAGCAAAGGUAAACUAAAAACGCUUUUAAUCAAGUCCACGGUACAUAAAGGAUUACAUGCUGAUUUUUUUUUGGGGGGUUUUCAUAGUUCCGAAUAGAAUUACAUAAGGCGAGGACGUGAGUCUCGCUGGUACCAUACAUAAUUUACAUCCAGGUUCCUUAGUAGCAGUAAAAAGUAGUGUUCUAGGAUGAGACGAGCGCUAAUACAACACAGAGACAUCUAAUAGUAGUGGUAAGGACAUAUGAGCUGAGAUACCAAUCUACCGUUGUAGUCAGUCACUACAAAAUAGGGCCAUUGCGCGAUUGAGUCGUUGGCAUCAUUAGUUGUUGUCAUGUCAUUCAUCAGCGACUUUUUUUUUCCUGACUGAACCUACCGGUAGUAAGCCUGAUGGAAGGCAGGAGCCAUUCCAUUGUUGUAAGCUGCCAUACCAUUGGCAUACCCACCAUAGGGGGUGGGGUAGCUCAUGGGUGGGGUAGAGUAUGGCAUCGCGAUGCCGACAUUGACAGUGGCUACCUCCUCAACUGGGUAAACAUAUGGCUCCCUGAUAGCCGGUGGGCUCCGGUUGCAGUAGAGGCCAUGACCAACCGCCCUGUCAUAAGGGUAAGGGGAGGCGGUGGCGUAUGAUGCGUGGGAAGGGGAGGCGGUGGCGUAUGAGGUGUGGGAAGGGGAAGUGGUGGCGUAUGAGGUGUGGGAGGGAGAGCGGGCAAAUGUGGUGGGAGUUGGGAAAGAAGACACGGACGCGUUGUUAGUUCGACCUGCCUUGGCAGGAGGCAUUGGGCCUCCAUUGCUUGCACGGAUAC